AUUGAACGCUGGCGGAAUGCUUUACACAUGCAAGUCGAGCGGCAGCGCGGCCUUCGGGCUGGCGGCGAGCGGCGAACGGGUGAGUAAUGCAUCGGAACAUGCCCAGUCGUGGGGGAUAACACUUCGAAAGAAGUGCUAAUACCGCAUACGUCCUGAGGGGGAAAGCGGGGGAUCGCAAGACCUCGCGCGAUUGGAGUGGCCGAUGUCAGAUUAGCUAGUUGGUGGGGUAAAGGCCUACCAAGGCGACGAUCUGUAGCUGGUCUGAGAGGAUGAUCAGCCACACUGGGACUGAGACACGGCCCAGACUCCUACGGGAGGCAGCAGUGGGGAAUUUUGGACAAUGGGGGCAACCCUGAUCCAGCCAUUCCGCGUGAGUGAAGAAGGCCUUCGGGUUGUAAAGCUCUUUCGACAGGAACGAAACGGUGGGCUCUAACAUAGUCCGCUAAUGACGGUACCUGAAGAAGAAGCACCGGCUAACUACGUG
rnacentral:rRNA from 1 species